GGCAUGGCGGGCGUGCUAUACAUGCAAGUCGAGCGAAUCAAUGGGAGCUUGCUCCCUGAGAUUAGCGGCGGACGGGUGAGUAACACGUGGGUAACCUGCCUGUAAGACUGGGAUAACUUCGGGAAACCGGAGCUAAUACCGGAUAGUUUCUUUUCUCGCAUGAGAGAAGAUGGAAAGAUGGUUUCGGCUAUCACUUACAGAUGGACCCGCGGCGCAUUAGCUAGUUGGUGAGGUAACGGCUCACCAAGGCGACAAUGCGUAGCCAACCUGAGAGGGUGAUCGGCCACACUGGGACUGAAACACGGCCCAAACUCCUACGGGAGGCAGCAGUAGGGAAUCUUCCGCAAUGGACGAAAGUCUGACGGAGCAACGCCCCGUGAGCGAAAAAGGCCUUCGGGUCGUAAAGCUCUGUUGUUAGGGAAAAACAAGUACAAGAGUAACUGCUCGUACCUUGACGGUACCUAACCAGAAAGCCACGGCUAACUACGUGCCAGCAGCCGCGGUAAUACGUAGGUGGCAAGCGUUGUCCGGAAUUAUGGGGCGUAAAGCGCGCGCAGGCGGUCCUUUAAGUCUGAUGUGAAAGCCCACGGCUCACCCGUGGAGGGUCAUUGGAAACUGGGGGACUUGAGUGCAGAAAAGGAGAGUGGAAUUCCACGUGUAGCGGUGAAAUGCGUAAAGAUGUGGAGGAACACCAGUGGCGAAGGCAACUCUCUGGUCUGUAACUGACGCUAAGGCGCGAAAGCGUGGGGGAGCAAACAGGAUUAGAUACCCUGGUAGUCCACGCCGUAAACGAUGAGUGC
rnacentral:rRNA from 1 species